rnacentral:lncRNA from 1 species
AGAGGAAGACCUGGUGGGUUUAUAUAAUGUUUGAGAUACCACUUCAGUUUAAAUUGAAGAGGUAAGUUGCCUUUCAAUAACCUCUUUAGUUCAAAUUCAAAAGGUAAGUUGAUCAGACUUGUGCUUUUGAAUUCAACCGUUCAAAAACUGAAUUCUAUUCCACCACCGUUUGGAAAUCUCAUUGAGGAAGAUCCAAGUGAGGUGAAAAUCCCCUUGAGAUGGAUCCGAGUGAGGAAGACAAUCUUAGAGAGGUAAUAUCUCCUUGAGAUGGAUCCGAGUGAGGAAG